AAGCGGGAGCGAUGCACCCUGCAAUCUCGCGACAUCUCCAGUGCCCGGUACCUUGCCCAAAUCUCGCGAUAUUCCGUGGCGUUAAAGUAAAUAUAAGGCGGUUACAAGCAGCCUCUAGGAUUGUCUUUCCCACCGAGCAGCUGUGCCGGGGCGUCUUCAGUUCUUCCACUGCGGCUGGGGAUGCGGGGCAUCGCCCAGGGCAUCGGCCACUGGACCCGGGUCCACGUCCCCUAGUGGAGCCUCAUCCUAACUUGAUCACGCCUGCAAAGAGCCUGUUUCCAGUAGGGUCCCACUCCCAGGGGCUGGGACUGGAACAUACCUUUUGGUUAGGGUUAGGGUUAGGGUUUCCUGAACAGCUCAGGACCUAGAGAAGGCAUCUGGGCCAAGAUUACUUCUUUUUAAGAUACUGGAGACAACUAAGAUCUAAUUUUAAAUGCAGUUGUUAAAUACAACAAAAUCACCCGUACUUCAAGCAAGCCUUGGCUCAUUCUUACCCAGUUAAUGGGCCAAGGUGUUUGGAAGACACACUCACCUUAUUCAUGUAGGGGCACCUGCUGCUGUCCUGGGGCCACAGACAAGACAAGGCCCAACGCCCUGAACCGCACAGCCUUCAGAAGCCUGCCGUGACUUCCAGCAGAAUCAGCAGGCGAUCGUUUCUGGGCUCUGACGUGCAGCAGAGCGUCUUGGAUUCACUGAGUGUGGGGGCCUCCGUGCUUUGACGGAAGACGGGUGUUCAGAGACUUGUGUGCACGUGUGUCGGGAUGGAGGUGGCAGGAUUCCCUGAAGGUUGCACCCUUCUCGUUGGUGUGAGAUCACAACGUGGAUGAUGUUCUGAGUAGACCAUUGCAUUUUAUUUGCUUCUUUGAACUCCAUUGCACAUUGAAUAUUGCAUCUUGGAAGAGGUUUAAAGGCACAAGGCUCACCCCAGCUUCCCCGGCUCCAAGUGACAGUGUUCUCGCCACGUGGUGAGAGCAGACGUGAUGCCCCGUCCAUCCCCGGCUGUGAAGUCCCCCCGAGGUCCCUCACACUCUCCCCUCCCACCAGCGUGUUGCAGAUGAGGUGCCCCCCCCCCCCGGAGGCCACGUGGAAGGCCACGUGUUGGCAGUGGACAAGCCACAGAUGGAAGUGGAGCGGCUGGCCGGCUCGGACUCGGGGAGGAGGCCCCUCUGAUGUCUGAGUCAUCACGCAGCCUGGGAUUUGUGCGUUGUGUCUGCAGGGUUAACUGAAGAGGGAGCAAGUGCUUCCUUCUUUAAUGUGGGGGCUGUUUUAACAUUAAUAAUAACACUUAGUGUUUAUUUGGUGCUGACUUAGUGCCAGGCAGUAGACUAAGCUCUUUACAUACAUUCACUGUUUAUACUAAGACUGUGGAUUUGGGACUGUUCAUGUCCUCAGGGCACCCAGGAGCACCUGUCGGGUGAAGAGACAUUGUCAGAGGAACAGAAGUAUCUUGGCCACUGACUGGAUGGAGAAGGACGAGGGAGAAGACAAGGGGACAUGUAAGAACAUGGACCACGUGAUUUACAGGACGCUGAGCAUGCCGCGUGUGGGUGACGCAGAGCGGGGGCCCACGCGGCGUAGAAGACAGAGAUGUCGCUUUUUCCUGUGUUGAGUUAGAGCUGCUUACGUGAAAUUUUCUUGUAAGAAGUCCGGAGGCUGUGUGAAGACCAGUCAGGCCUGAAGGUUUGUUCUGAUGUCCUUCAGAGUGAAGCUGGUCAGGGAAGGCACAGACGUUGAUGGAAUCCCCACGUUAGAGACCAGAAGAGAAGUGAAAAUCCAGUGUUUUCUUUCUUUCUUAUACAGAUGAAGUGACAACAAAUCCUUCCUGUUAAUACGCCUUUCUUUCCAAAAGUGUGUGGGACUGGAGUUUUGACUUAAAAAGCCAGUAACAGGAUGACAUUAUAGGAAAGAUACACUCAGACCUUGAACAUUUAAAGGCUGUAAGCCACAUAAAUGAUUACUGAGUGGCCAACACGCAAAUGGGCUUCUCUGAUGAGGAUUCUGGACGGAGGGUAAGAAUAGUCUUUCUUGCUUGAACUUUACCCAAAAUGCAUCUUGAAGAUUUCUGAUUUAAAGUGAGUGUGAUUUUAAGGACAUUUGCAAAACUAUCGAAGUGUAGGGUGUUUAUAAGUUCUGUAUUUAUUGAUUGAUUUUUUGUUUUCUCUACACAUCCCAGUGGACUCCAAUAUUUACAGGUCUUUCAAAGCAUUCAACUUAGCCCUUGUUUAUGAAUAUUCACAUUUAAUUCAAUUAAAUUAUGUAAUUACAGUAACAAGCAGAGCCUUAAGAACUGGAGUGGGAACAAACAGCUCACUUUUCGUAAGAAUAAAACUGCGGUGCUGGGCGGGCACACACGCAGGCCUCCAGCACUCAGGACCCCGUGGGCCACAGCAAUAGAAAACAGGAGAGCUAAUUCAGUGAGUUAAAUAAAGGAUGAUUCAGACAGCAGCUUCUCUGAGGGGAAAUAUUCCUACAAAAACUUCAGUGUAAAAAAUGAAAAAAUGAGGAAAAAGUAGACAUAAAAAGAUUUUCAAAAUGUCCUUAACACCUAAAUUGCAUUUUUCAGUUUUGCAUCUCAGGAAAUAGAGUGCUCUUAAAAUUUAGCCUUCUCAACAUAGGUUUUUUUUUUUUUUUUAAUGAGUAGUGCAGUUAGACAAAUUUGCAGCUUUGUAGAAUCUUAGAGACUGGAUCCCUUCAGCCACUCAUGUUACAAACCAUCCCUGCUCUGUGCCUUACAGGGAGUCGGGUGCCUUCAAAGCCUUCCUCUUACAAACGCCAAGGGACCACACUGGAUCCUAGGGUGAUGUGCACAUUUUUAUUGGACUUCAUUUCUCAAGUGUGUGCAUGUGUGUCUGUGUGUUGAAACCUCACAAGGCACCACCAGUGUGAUUCUGGAGCUGGGUGGUUCUGUCGUAUCUGAGACACACACACACAUGCACAUACAUAAUGUGGUAAUGACACACCUUUUCCUUUGACAGCAGGGUGAAUUUAGUUUUUGAGAAGCAGGAACAAUUAACAACAUACUUCGAAUGGAUUGAUCAUUUAAUCAAAAGCCAGUUGAAUACAUCGUUUUCUUUUUGACAAAAUCAGUUUCUGAAGCUGUUGCCCAUGGAGGUCUCAGUGGAUCCACUUAAAAGGCUAGUAUGAUGUUUUGAUUCCUAACCACAAAAACAAUAUGAAGUAAAGUUCCUAAGAUGCUGAUGAAAACACGUGAUCUAAAUCUAUUCCAUACCCGGUAACAACAGCAAAUAGUCCCUGAUCAUGGUUACCGGUGUUUGCGCACUUGCUUACUUGUAUGUAACAACAGUGGACACACAGCCGUCGGGCGCCUGCCUGCGCCAGCGUUGCCCGUUCUCAGUGUGGCUUUUGUAAUUUCAAAACAAAAGGAAAACAGCGAAAGUACAUACAGAAUGUAUGAGGAAUAAAUGAUUUCCCUCUA